rnacentral:rRNA from 1 species
CCUACGGGAGGCAGCAGUGGGGAAUAUUGCACAAUGGGCGGAAGCCUGAUGCAGCGACGCCGCGUGAGGGAUGAAGGCCUUCGGGUUGUAAACCUCUUUCAGCAGGGACGAAGCGUGAGUGACGGUACCUGCAGAAGAAGCACCGGCUAACUACGUGCCAGCAGCCGCGGUAAUACGUAGGGUGCGAGCGUUGUCCGGAAUUACUGGGCGUAAAGAGUUCGUAGGCGGUUUGUCGCGUCGUUUGUGAAAACCCGGGGCUCAACUUCGGGCUUGCAGGCGAUACGGGCAGACUUGAGUGUUUCAGGGGAGACUGGAAUUCCUGGUGUAGCGGUGAAAUGCGCAGAUAUCAGGAGGAACACCGGUGGCGAAGGCGGGUCUCUGGGAAACAACUGACGCUGAGGAACGAAAGCGUGGGUAGCAAACAGGAUUAGAUACCCUGGUAGUCCACGCCGUAAACGGUGGGCGCUAGGUGUGGGUUCCUUCCACGGGAUCUGUGCCGUAGCUAACGCAUUAAGCGCCCCGCCUGGGGAUACGGCCGCAAGGCUAAAACUCAAAAGGAUUGACGG